UGAAAGGAGGUAACAGAUGUGAAAUGGCAAAGAUAAUUAGAAAGACGCACUUAUUACUCGAAGAAGUGAUUGAACAGUGUAUUCUCCGUGACCGUGGUGAGUGGGAGGACAUUUGUGAGCAAGAGAGCAAUCGAUGUUGUUGUCUGGUUAGCACGACUAGCAGAGGACCCUUUUGGAUGGUGGCCACGGCACUCACGUCACGAAAAACCAUCAUCUGAAAAUUAGUGAGUGAAUUCUGGGAGCCAGUCAG